UCCAAGAGAGAGAGUCGAGUCUCUUCCCU
rnacentral:piRNA from 1 species